GUCCCCGCGCACUGAGAGCCGGGCGGAAGUCGCUGGGGGCUGGCGACGGAAGUGACGUCGAGCUCGUGCAUGCGUGAGGGACGAUGGCGGAGGCGGUGGAGAGCGGAGCGAGACUCGCUCGGGAGCGGGAGGCCCCUGGAGGGACUGCAGCAGCCUUUGUUUAUGGCCAGUUUCUGGCUUUGUACCUGCUGCACAACGACAUGUGAGUGGCUUCUCUCCACCUGUGCUCUCAGACCCGGGUUUGUCACCAGCAGCUCGAGCUGCAGCCGCCAGACUGUGAGGAGUUGGUUUUGAAUAACACGCGAUAUCUCUGGGAAAGAAUCGCUCCUGCCAUCAGAUCUGUAAGUGCUGGAUUUACAGCUGUGACCACUGCAGAGAAGACAUUCUUCUGGCUGAACAUUUGGGAGGGUUUUUGGUCACAACAGGCAAAUGCUGAACGUGGUGCAGUUUGGUCAGUGGGACAGACUUGGAAGCACUCAGAGGUCCAAAGUGACCUUGUGUGGGCAGCAGGGAAUUGCCUGAAAUGAUUCCUGUGUGUGCUCAAACACUAAUUAUGAGAAAUGAGAACUGUUGCCAAAUUUGUGUAGGUUUUCCUGAAAGGAUUUUAGGUAUCGGGUGUAAAUAAAAACCUCAUGACAAAACCUUGUAAUAA